ACGGGUGAGUAAUGUCUGGGGAUCUGCCCGAUAGAGGGGGAUAACCACUGGAAACGGUGGCUAAUACCGCAUAACGUCGCAAGACCAAAGAGGGGGACCUUCGGGCCUCUCACUAUCGGAUGAACCCAGAUGGGAUUAGCUAGUAGGCGGGGUAACGGCCCACCUAGGCGACGAUCCCUAGCUGGUCUGAGAGGAUGACCAGCCACACUGGAACUGAGACACGGUCCAGACUCCUACGGGAGGCAGCAGUGGGGAAUAUUGCACAAUGGGCGCAAGCCUGAUGCAGCCAUGCCGCGUGUAUGAAGAAGGCCUUCGGGUUGUAAAGUACUUUCAGCGGGGAGGAAGGCGAUGUGGUUAAUAACCGCAUUGAUUGACGUUACCCGCAGAAGAAGCACCGGCUAACUCCGUGCCAGCAGCCGCGGUAAUACGGAGGGUGCAAGCGUUAAUCGGAAUUACUGGGCGUAAAGCGCACGCAGGCGGUCUGUUAAGUCAGAUGUGAAAUCCCCGGGCUUAACCUGGGAACUGCAUUUGAAACUGGCAGGCUUGAGUCUCGUAGAGGGGGGUAGAAUUCCAGGUGUAGCGG
rnacentral:rRNA from 1 species